rnacentral:rRNA from 1 species
GUAGGUGGCAAGCGUUGUCCGGAAUUAUUGGGCGUAAAGCGCGCGCAGGUGGGUCUUUAAGUCUGAUGUGAAAGACCCCCGGGCUCAACCGGGGAGGGUCAUUGGAAACUGGGGAACUUGAGUGCAGGAGAGGAAAGUGGAAUUCCACGUGUAGCGGUGAAAUGCGUAGAUAUGUGGAGGAACACCAGUGGCGAAGGCGACUUUCUGGCCUGUAACUGACACUGAGGCGCGAAAGCGUGGGGAGCAAACAGGAUUAGAUACCCUGGUAGUCCACGCCGUAAACGAUGAGUGCUAAGUGUUGGGGGGGUUUCCGCCCCUCAGUGCUGCAGCUAACGCAUUAAGCACUCCGCCUGGGGAGUACGGUCGCAAAGACUG